rnacentral:rRNA from 1 species
CAGCAGCCACGGUAAUACGUAGGUCCCGAGCGUUGUCCGGAUUUAUUGGGCGUAAAGCGAGCGCAGGCGGUUAGAUAAGUCUGAAGUUAAAGGCUGUGGCUUAACCAUAGUACGCUUUGGAAACUGUUUAACUUGAGUGCAAGAGGGGAGAGUGGAAUUCCAUGUGUAGCGGUGAAAUGCGUAGAUAUAUGGAGGAACACCGGUGGCGAAAGCGGCUCUCUGGCUUGUAACUGACGCUGAGGCUCGAAAGCGUGGGGAGCAAACAGGAUUAGAUACCCCAGUAGUCCCUGUCUCUUAUACA